AGAGUUUGAUCAUGGCUCAGAACGAACGCUGGCGGCAUGCCUAACACAUGCAAGUCGAACGAGACCUUCGGGUCUAGUGGCGCACGGGUGCGUAACGCGUGGGAACCUGCCCUUAGGUUCGGAAUAACUCCCCGAAAGGGGUGCUAAUACCGGAUAAUGUCUUCGGACCAAAGAUUUAUCGCCUAUGGAUGGGCCCGCGUUGGAUUAGCUAGUUGGUAGGGUAAAGGCCUACCAAGGCGACGAUCCAUAGCUGGUCUUAGAGGAUGAUCAGCCACACUGGGACUGAGACACGGCCCAGACUCCUACGGGAGGCAGCAGUGGGGAAUAUUGGACAAUGGGCGAAAGCCUGAUCCAGCAAUGCCGCGUGAGUGAUGAAGGCCUUAGGGUUGUAAAGCUCUUUUACCCGGGAUGAUAAUGACAGUACCGGGAGAAUAAGCCCCGGCUAACUCCGUGCCAGCAGCCGCGGUAAUACGGAGGGGGCUAGCGUUGUUCGGAAAUACUGGGCGUAAAGCGAACGUAGGCGGCCUGGCAAGUCAGGGGUGAAAUCCCGGAGCUCAACCCCGGAACUGCCCUUGAAACUGCUAAGCUUGAAUCCUGGAGAGGCGAGUGGAAUUCCGAGUGUAGAGGUGAAAUUCGUAGAUAUUCGGAAGAACACCAGUGGCGAAGGCGACUCGCUGGACAGGUAUUGACGCUGAGGUUCGAAAGCGUGGGGAGCAAACAGGAUUAGAUACCCUAGUAGUCC
rnacentral:rRNA from 1 species